rnacentral:rRNA from 1 species
GAUGAACGCUAGCUACAGGCUUAACACAUGCAAGUCGAGGGGCAGCGAGAAGUUAGCUUGCUAACUUUGUCGGCGACCGGCGCACGGGUGAGUAACGCGUAUCCAACCUGGCCCUUAGUAGGGGAUAGCCCGGCGAAAGUCGGAUUAAUACCCUAUGUUAUCCGAAGAGGACAUCUGAAUUGGAUUAAAGAUUCAUCGCUAAGGGAUGGGGAUGCGUCUGAUUAGGUUGUUGGCGGGGUAACGGCCCACCAAGCCAUCGAUCAGUAGGGGUUCUGAGAGGAAGGUCCCCCACAUUGGAACUGAGACACGGUCCAGACUCCUACGGGAGGCAGCAGUGAGGAAUAUUGGACAAUGGCCGGAAGGCUGAUCCAGCCAUGCCGCGUGCGGGAGGACGGCCCUAUGGGUUGUAAACCGCUUUUGCGAGGGAGCAAUAAGGGUAACGUGUUGCCCGAUGAGAGUACCUCGCGAAUAAGCAUCGGCUAACUCCGUGCCAGCAGCCGCGGUAAUACGGAGGAUGCAAGCGUUAUCCGGAUUUAUUGGGUUUAAAGGGUGCGUAGGCGGUUUGCUAAGCGGGAGGUGAAAUGCCGGCGCUCAACGUCGGAAGUGCCUCCCGAACUGGUGGACUGGAAUGACUCUGCCGUGGGAGGAAUGUGUAGUGUAGCGGUGAAAUGCUUAGAGAUUACACAGAACACCGAUUGCGAAGGCAUCUCACGAAGGGUUGAUUGACGCUGAGGCACGAAAGCGUGGGGAUCAAACA